GAUGAACGCUGGCGGCGUGCCUAAUACAUGCAAGUCGAGCGAACAGACGAGGAGCUUGCUCCUCUGACGUUAGCGGCGGACGGGGGAGUAACACGUGGAUAACCUACCUAUACGACUUGGAUAACUUCCGGAAACCGGAGCUACUACCAGAUAAUAUAUUGAACCUGAUGGUUCAAUAGUGAGAGACGGUUUUUCUUUCACUUAUAGAUGGACCCGCGCCGCAUUAGCUAGUUGGUAAGGUAACGGCUUACCAAGGCAACGAUGCGUAGCCGACCUGAGAGGGUGAUCGGCCAUACUGGAACUGAGACACGGUCCAGACUCCUACGGGAGGCAGCAGUAGGGAAUCUUCCGCAAUGGGCGAAGGCCUGACGGUGCAACGCCGCGUGAGUGAUGAUGGUCUUCGGAUCGUAAAACUCUGUUAUUAGGGAAGAAGAAAUGUGGAAGUAACUAUGCACGUCUUGACGGUACCUAAUCAGAAAGCCACGGCUAACUACGUG
rnacentral:rRNA from 1 species